AGCGAACGCUGGCGGCAGGCCUAACACAUGCAAGUCGAACGAAGUCUUCGGACUUAGUGGCGGACGGGUGAGUAACACGUGGGAACGUGCCCUUUGGUACGGAAUAACUCAGGGAAACUUGAGCUAAUACCGUAUGUGCCCUUCGGGGGAAAGAUUUAUCGCCAUUGGAGCGGCCCGCGUCUGAUUAGCUAGUUGGUGAGGUAAAGGCUCACCAAGGCUACGAUCAGUAGCUGGUCUGAGAGGAUGAUCAGCCACAUUGGGACUGAGACACGGCCCAAACUCCUACGGGAGGCAGCAGUGGGGAAUCUUGCGCAAUGGGCGAAAGCCUGACGCAGCCAUGCCGCGUGAAUGAUGAAGGUCUUAGGAUUGUAAAAUUCUUUCACCGGGGACGAUAAUGACGGUACCCGGAGAAGAAGCCCCGGCUAACUUCGUGCCAGCAGCCGCCGUAA
rnacentral:rRNA from 1 species